rnacentral:lncRNA from 1 species
AAAAUGUAAGAUAAUUGCUAAAAAUCAUAAACAUCAACCCUACAUCUACAAAAGUAUAGUAAUUUAAAGACUAAAGUAAUAAAUAUAUUUAAAUACUAAAAAAGAUUGUGAAUGAUAUAUAGUAGGAUAAAAUGUAAGAUAAUUGUGAAAAAUCAUAAACAUCAGCCUAUAUCUACACAAGUAAACCUAACUUUAAAAUAAUUACAAAACCGAACCUAAUUUAAUUCCAUAACUUGUAUCUAAUUGCCCAUUCUAUAUCCCACAAACACUGCUAUACUCUUUUUUCUUCCUCAACCUCUCAAUCGUAUGCAAUCCCCAUUGCCUCCAAAGUCCCAUCGAUCGGCAGACCACCAAAGAACCCUCAAUUAUCGCCUCACUUCUUCCAGUAAAACCCACCCAUCCAGAUGAUAAAUCUGAUUCCUCCCUCCAUCUACGGUGAUAUCUACUAUUGCUAGAUCAACCUUCUCCUAUUGAUUGAUUGAUCAAAUUACUCCCCUCAUCACUGCUAGAAUAUGAAUCCUAUCUCCAUCUACAACUAAUCUGAUUCCUCCCAUCAUUAUUUCCAGAAUCUGAUUAACCACCACUAUCGGAGCAGCCAUUUUCGAUGGGUUGACAGAUCUAAUUCCUCCGUCCACCACUGUCGGAUAGUGAUUGAUCUCAAGCCAGAUCUGUAAACUCCGGCAAACUCAAGCGUCAAAGCUCGAGCCAAAUCUAGGAACUUCGGUGAACUCGGACCAGAUUUGGUACAUCUACAUCAGUGUCGACUCAAACUCUUGGUAAAAGGCAACCAUGAAAGGCCCCUAAAUUUGAGGCACCCACAUUUUAUAGAAAUAAUAGAUUAUAACUUCUAAUAAGAAAAUAUUAAAUAUCAUUUGUAGAAAAAAUAAAUUUUAUAUGUAAAAAGAAAAAAUUACUAGAAGAAGUUUGAUAUAUGUUUCAAAGGAUUAAAUGCAUUGGUUAUAUUAUUAAUUGAAAAAUUAUUAAAAAAUUAUUAAAAGAAAUCGAUUAUAUAAAAAAUUGUAACAACUUUGCAACACAAAAAAUUUUAAAGCUAGACUUUAUUUUUCUUAAAAUAUAAGGUCUCCUCGUAACUUUAGCAUUAGGUCAGUAAUGUGUUUGAGCCGCCCUUGAUCCACAUGUAUUUCAUAGUCUUUAAAAUAUAUAUGAUACAUAAACAUUAAAAAUAUUAAGAUACAUAGGCAUUAAUACUUUUAAAAUACACAAACUUUAAAAGAUUCAAGGCUUGUAGCAUGAUUAUUGAGGUUUGGGGUGACUUGAACUCAUUUAUAUAAUUAUUGAGUUGAUUAUCAUAUGUUAUUAAGCUUAUUAUAAGC